UGCGAUGCGAUCUUCCAGGAGGCCUAUGGGUCGGUUUUCAUCACCACUCUUGUCCUUGGAUUCAGCCCGUCCAUCGAUGGAAACACUACAAUAGAGGUGGAGCUUGUUUUCAAUAACACAGCAUCACCUGAAGUGACCGUUUCAACUGCCGAUGUACUGGAGACCAUGACGACGGCAGCAACCAACACCUCCGCUGGCGGAUUCUCCUUUGAUCCUGAAUCUAUUGUUGUCACAGGUAUGGUCACACUUUCCAUAUUUGAUAAAAAAUAAUAUUUCCAAUAACAAAAGUAAAACAAAGGUUUGUAUAAAUACAUAGUUACAAGUAACAUGUUCCUUCUCAGAAACGCAAAUCCCAACAGCAACUCCGACGACAGCAGCAACAGCAACUACAACUACGCCAACUCCAGCUACAGCACCCUCAGUUCCAACUACAGAUUAUUUUGUCACAGGAACUCUCACACCAAGCUCAACCAAGGCACCCAUCACAAGCACAAUCGUCUCUUCUGUUACACCAACCAUCACAACAGACGUAUCGGUUCCCACCCCAACUGUAAAUGUUGCUCCUGUCACGGUCACAACUGGAGCAUCUUCCACAUCAAGCAGCACCAUGGGUUCCACCCAAACAUCUUCCACAGCAAGCAGCACCAUGGGUUCCACCCAAACAUCUUCCACAGCAAGCAGCACCAUGGGUUCCACCCAAACAUCUUCCACAGCAAGCAGCACCAUGGGUUCCACCCAAACAUCUUCCACAGCAAGCAGCACCAUGGGUUCCACCCAAACAUCUUCCACAGCAAGCAGCACCAUGGGUUCCACCCAAACAUCUUCCACAGCAAGCAGCACCAUGGGUUCCACCCAAACACCUUCCAGCGAAUCCACGACCAGCCUCAUGACGACCACCAGUCCUCCGACCGCACCAUCAGCCCCUGCUCCGACCUUCAGUUUGUCGGUUACGUUAACACAAACUUACGACGAACAAUUAUCAAACCCGAGCAGUCAGCAGUUUAUUGCACUGCAGUUGAUCGUUGUUACAACGUGUAAUGCUAUCUACAGGGCAGAAUAUGGAUUCCUUUUCAUCCGCGUUAUUGUCAUUGGAUUCAGACCUGCCGGAGGUCGACGUAUGGCCAACACUGAAACCGUUUUGGAGCUUGUGUUCAAUAAUACUGCCCCAAGUGAAAGUAUUCCGCCAGCAGAGGAAGUUGCAAAUGUCUUGAGAAAUGCUGCAAUGGACAACUCCACUGAUAGUCUCCAAAUUGAUGCUACCACUAUUGUUGUCGAAAGAGUUGUUACCACUACCACAACGAUUGCCCCAACAACUGCCCAACCACUGACAAUAACUGCCAAACCAACGGCUACAACAGCCCAACCACCUGCUACAAAUGCCCAACUACCGGCCCCAACUCAAACCACAACCACUGCUGCAGUAGCGUUGGCUAACGUCCGAUUUGGAUUCCGUUCUGUCAGAGACACAUUUACAGCAGACCUUUUGAAUCCCUCAUCAGCAGCCUUCCAAAAUCGAGCCACAACCAUCACAUCUGCGCUCGAACCCUUGUUCAGAAGAGCUUUUGGUUCCUUCACUAGCUUGCAAGUGGUAACUUUCAGCCAAGGAUCGAUCAUCACCACCAUGGACGCAAAGUUCAGUUCAGCUCCUUCUAGUGACCAGAUAGCCAGAGUUCUGACCGAUGCCGCAGGAACCAUCACAGCUUUUGACAUUGAAACCAACUCUAUUACUGUUAAUGGUAUAGUGACGGGGGGAGUUUCAAGUGGAAUGAACAAAAGCAGUGCCUUCAUCAUAUCUUCGAUGGCACUUCUCUCAUGGCUACUCGUUUCAAGCUGAUCAUAGGACUUGGGUGUUCACUCAAGACAAACCCAAGACAACACAUAAGAACCAUUUUAACUAAGAAACAUUAUUAACCCUAUUAACCAUGUUAACCACAGAAUUAUAUUAACCAAGAUAAACAAACAAAUGAAUAAUAUAUAUUACUAAAUGAAUUGCUAUUUAAUCACAACAGAGUAUUUCUAAUUAAGAUAUCAUGCACUUUGCUUGUAAACAAAAGACUAUUCUCUUAAAUAAAAAGAUUAAGCUAUCAUAUUUGUUCUUGUCUAGUGUCAUCGAAAAAUAUUUUAAAUGUAGACCCCUCUAUAUCUUGUAUGGGGAAAUAUUAUCAAAAUAUAAAGAAAGAAAGAAAGAAAGAAAGAAAGAAAGAAAGAAAGAAAGAAAGAAAGAAAGAAAGAAAGAAAGAAAGAAAGAAAGAAAGAAAGAAAGAAAGAUUAGUAUUGCAUCGCAGAAGAUUAGGGUGUGUAACAAUUGGAGAAACCGUUGUUGAUACAUAGGGGAGAUAUGUUUUAGUGAAUUGUCAGAUAUACUCAGAACCCUGGACUCUCUUAAAUUUUUAGGCACCCAACUAUGUCGAUGAACCAUUUGUUCAAGAUAUAUUCUUGAAGGUGUCAUGAGAACGGCAAUAAAUUCUUAUAGGGGGUGACUUUAAUUUCUGCCUGUAUCCUGUUCUGAUAAGUCAGCUCUAUCAGUAUACAAAUCUAGAGUAGAGAAAAUCACCAUAGAAUAAAAUGGACGAACUCCAGUGUCUCAUAGCGAGGAGCAAGGACUUUCAUUCCUCGGCUGUGUUUGCGUUCGUGGAGACCCGUCGGUCGCCAGCUAUACCUGAUUGGUCUGUGGAGUUGGAAGGCUUCUCUACGUUCCGGGUGGACAGGGACUUCGAGGCAGUGAACAAGUCGCGUGGAGGUGGAGUACUGGUUUUUGUUAACGAUCGCUGGAGUUCGGAUGUAACAGUGAUUCUGGAAAACUGUUCCACUGAAAUAGAAUCCCUCUUCAUCCUCUGUCAGCCAUUUUAUCCCCCCUGUGAGUUCAGCUCAUUCAUUCUCGUGUGCGUUUAAAUUCCGCCUUCUGCUGACGUCACCGCAGCAGUAGACACACUGGACGAGCAGUUAAUGAGUGUGGAACGCCAGUACCCGGACAGAUUUGCUGUAGUUUUGAGAGACUGCAGCAACAACUUUCUGAAGGGAAUCCCUCCUCGGUCUAGAAAGGCCUCAAGAAGAUCACCAACUACAAACCAAAGCCCCCGCAGGCACCCAACAGCCUCCCCCUUGCCAACGAGCUCAAUGAGUUCUAUUGCAGGUUUGAGAAGGAGUUCCC
ensembl:lncRNA